rnacentral:rRNA from 1 species
UAAUACCCUAUAGGUUACAGAUGCUGGAAUGCUCUGUAAUCAAAAGUUCCGGCGCCCUAGGAUGGAUCUGCGGCCGAUUAGGUUGUUGUUGGGGUAAUGGCCCAACAAGCCAGUAAUCGGUACGGGUUGUGGGAGCAAGAGCCCGGAGUUGGAUUCUGAGACACGAAUCCAGGCCCUACGGGGCGCAGCAGGCGCGAAAACUUUACAAUGCGGGCAACCGUGAUAAGGGAACCUCGAGUGCCUGUAAAUGCAGGCUGUUCAGAUGCCUAAAACACAUCUGGAGAAAGGGCCGGGCAAGACCGGUGCCAGCCGCCGCGGUAAUACCGGCGGCUCGAGUGGUGGCCACUUUUAUUGGGCUUAAAGCGUUCGUAGCUGGGUUGUUAAGUCUCUUGGGAAAUCUGGCGGCUUAACCGUCAGGCGUCUAAGGGAUACUGGCAGUCUUGGAACCGGGAGAGGUGAGGGGUACUUCGGGGGUAGGAGUGAAAUCCUGUAAUCCUCGAGGGACCACCUGUGGCGAAGGCGCCUCACCAAAACGGCUUCGACAGUGAGGGACGAAAGCUGGGGGAGCAAACCGGAUUAGAUACCCGGGUAGUCCCAGCCGUAAACUAUGCGCGUUAGGUGUAU